UUAGCUUGCUAACAGGCGUCGAGUGGCGGACGGGUGAGUAACGCGUAGGAAUCUACCAAAUAGCGGGGGAUAGCCCGGAGAAUCCGGAUUGAUACCACAUAAUCUCUACGGAGUAAAGGGGGGCCUCUAUUUAUAAGCUUUCACUAUUUGAUGAGCCUGCGUAAGAUUAGCUUGCUGGUGAGGUAAAAGCUCACCAAGGCGACGAUCUUUAGCUGGUCUGAGAGGAUGAUCAGCCACACUGGGACUGAGACACGGCCCAGACUCC
rnacentral:rRNA from 1 species